GUCCACGCAGUAAACUAUGAGUGCUAGUUAUCGGGGUCUUUGACUUCGGUGGCGAAGCUAACGCGUUAAGCACUCCGCCUGGGGAGUACGGCCGCAAGGCUAAAACUCAAAGGAAUUGACGGGGACCCGCACAAGCAGUGGAGCAUGUGGUUUAAUUCGAUGCUACGCGAAAACCUUACCAGCCCUUGUAUCCUGGUCGCGAUUUUCAGAGAUGAAUUUCUCAGUUCGGCUGGACCAGUGACAGGUGUUGCAUGGCUGUCGU
rnacentral:rRNA from 1 species